CCUACGGGCGGCUGCAGUGGGGGAUAUUGCACAAUGGGGGGAACCCUGAUGCAGCGACGCCGCGUGGGUGAAGAAGCGCCUCGGCGCGUAAAGCCCUGUCAGCAGGGAAGAAAAUGACGGUAUCUGAAGAAGAAGCCCCGGCUAACUACGUGCCAGCAACCGCGGGAAUACGUAGGGGGCAAGCGUUAUCCGGAUUUACUGGGUGUAAAGGGGGCGCAGACGGCGAUGCAAGCCAGGAGUGAAAGCCCGGGGCCCAACCCCGGGACUGCUCUUGGAACUGCGUGGCUGGAGUGCAGGAGGGGCAGGCGGAAUUCCUGGUGUAGCGGUGAAAUGCGUAGAUAUCAGGAGGAACACCGGUGGCGAAGGCGGCCUGCUGGACUGCAACUGACGUUGAGGCCCGAAAGCGUGGGGAGCAAACAGGAUUAGAUACCCCGGUAGUC
rnacentral:rRNA from 1 species